rnacentral:rRNA from 1 species
AUUGAACGCUGGCGGAAUGCUUUACACAUGCAAGUCGAGCGGCAGCACGGACUUCGGUCUGGUGGCGAGUGGCGAACGGGUGAGUAAUAUAUCGGAACGUGCCCAGUCGUGGGGGAUAACGUAGUGAAAAUUACGCUAAUACCGCAUACGAUCUAUGGAUGAAAGCGGGGGAUCGCAAGCCUCGCGCGAUUGGAGCGGCCGAUAUCAGAUUAGGUAGUUGGUGAGGUAAAGGCUCACCAAGCCAACGAUCUGUAGCUGGUCUGAGAGGACGACCAGCCACACUGGAACUGAGACACGGUCCAGACUCCUACGGGAAGCAGCAGUGGGGAAUUUUGGACAAUGGACGCAAGUCUGAUCCAGCCAUUCCGCGUGCAGGACGAAGGCCUUCGGGUUGUAAACUGCUUUUGUACAGAACGAAAAGGUUUCUAUUAAUACUAGGGGCUCAUGACGGUACUGUAAGAAUAAGCACCGGCUAACUACGUGCCAGCCGCCGCCGUAA